CUACAGAUGUCUUCGCGAUGAACCUUCUCCGGACUCCAAUGAAGGCCCCUGUCUGGUUGAGUGCAGCCUUGGACGGUCUCCACUUGUGGAAAGUGCUCACGGUCUGCCUGAACGUGAAAGUCUACUUUGCCGUUUAUGACAGGGUUGCCAUCAUUUGCCUAGCGAGUGAUAAGGCACUGGCAGUUCAAGAAGAGUGGGCCUACGUCAAGCAAGGGUCGAGUCUUUUCAAGUCCAACGUCUCCAUAACCCCCUUCCGAUGGAACCACAUCUGCGUCACCUUCGGCCAAGAAGUAUCGUACUACAUCGAUGGGAAACGGGAACCGAUGACGGAAGACAGCGACUCGAAGUCGAACACAACGACUUCUGGUUUCUGGCCCGUAGACUAUUUGUUCCUCAACUUCCCCCCAAGUACGGACAAGACAGUUGGAGGGUUUGGUGGCUACGC